UGUUCCAGGUGGUUCUCUGCGGGGUUUAACACUGUGUGUUCCAGGUGGUUCUCUGCGGGGGGUUUAACACUGUGUGUUCCAGGUGGUUCUCUGCGGGGGGUUUAACACUGUGUGUUCCAGGUGGUUCUCUGCGGGGUUUAACACUGUGUGUUCCAGGUGGUUCUCUGCGGGGGGUUUAACACUGUGUGUUCCAGGUGGUUCUCUGCGGGGGGUUUAACACUGUGUGUUCCAGGUGGUUCUCUGCGGGGG